rnacentral:piRNA from 1 species
UGGUUAAGCUUUCUACUGUGGCUGUCUGC